UACGUAGGGGGCAAGCGUUGUCCGGAAUUAUUGGGCGUAAAGCGCGCGCAGGCGGUUUCUUAAGUCUGAUGUGAAAUCUUGCGGCUUAACCGCAAGCGGUCAUUGGAAACUGGGAGGCUUGAGUACAGAAGAGGAGAGUGGAAUUCCACGUGUAGCGGUGAAAUGCGUAGAUAUGUGGAGGAACACCAGUGGCGAAGGCGACUCUCUGGUCUGUAACUGACGCUGAGGCGCGAAAGCGUGGGGAGCGAACAGG
rnacentral:rRNA from 1 species